rnacentral:rRNA from 1 species
GAUGAACGCUGGCGGCGUGCCUAAUACAUGCAAGUCGAGCGAACGGAUGAGAAGCUUGCUUCUCUGAUGUUAGCGGCGGACGGGUGAGUAACACGUGGAUAACCUACCUAUAAGACUGGGAUAACUUCGGGAAACCGGAGCUAAUACCGGAUAAUAUUUUGAACCGCAUGGUUCAAAAGUGAAAGACGGUCUUGCUGUCACUUAUAGAUGGAUCCGCGCGGCAUUAGCUAGUUGGUAAGGUAACGGCUUACCAAGGCAACGAUGCAUAGCCGACCUGAGAGGGUGAUCGGCCACACUGGAACUGAGACACGGUCCAGACUCCUACGGGAGGCAGCAGUAGGGAAUCUUCCGCAAAGGGCGAAAGCCUGACGGAGCAACGCCGCGUGAGUGAUGAAGGUCUUCGGAUCGUAAAACUCUGUUAUUAGGGAAGAACAUAUGUGUAAGUAACUGUGCACAUCUUGACGGUACCUAAUCAGAAAGCCACGGCUAACUACGUG